rnacentral:ribozyme from 13 species
GGAAGAGGGCGGCGGCGACGGGGACGGGGACGGCCGGCGCCGGCGCAGCAACGCCGCGAGUCGCUGCGAAGAUGUCCGCCGGCUCCGGCUAGCGGA